rnacentral:rRNA from 1 species
GGACUACUGGGGUUUCUAAUCCAUUUCGAUAACCAUACUUUCGUGCCUUAAUGUCAGUAUAUACUUAGAUUAUUGCCUUCGCCUUCGGCCUUCUCUUGAGGUUUAAUGAAUUUCAUCUCUUAUCUCAAUGUUCUAUAAUCCCCCAUAAUACUCUAGAUUAAUAGUAAAACUCUUAUUUAUUAUACUUAAAUUAAUUAACUAUUGUUAAAACAUUAAAUACAUAAUCUUAAGAAUAUGUUUCAUAUUAUUCCAUAUACGCACCUUUUAAACCCAAUAAUCAUGCUUAAUGUUAGCCCUCCUAGUAUUACCGCGGCUGCUGGCAC